GACGAACGCGGCGGCGUGCUUAACACAUGCAAGUCGAACGAAGAGCGAUGGAAGCUUGCUUCUAUCAAUCUUAGUGGCGAACGGGUGAGUAACGCGUAAUCAACUUGCCCUUCAGAGGGGGACAACAGUUGGAAACGACUGCUAAUACCGCAUACGAUCUGACCUCGGCAUCGAGGAAGGAUGAAAGGUGGCCUCUAUUUAUAAGCUAUCAUUGAAGGAGGGGAUUGCGUAUGAUUAGCUAGUUGGAGGGGUAACGGCCCACCAAGGCGAUGAUCAGUAGCCGGUCUGAGAGGAUGAACGGCCACAUUGGGACUGAGACACGGCCCAGACUCCUACGGGAGGCAGCAGUGGGGAAUCUUCCGCAAUGGACGAAAGUCUGACGGAGCAACGCCGCGUGAGUGAUGACGGCCUUCGGGUUGUAAAGCUCUGUUAAUCGGGA
rnacentral:rRNA from 1 species